rnacentral:rRNA from 1 species
UACGUAGGGUGCGAGCGUUGUCCGGAAUUAUUGGGCGUAAAGAGCUUGUAGGCGGUCUGUCGCGUCUGCUGAAAAUCCGGGGCUCAACCCCGGACUUGCAGUGGGUACGGGCAGACUAGAGUGUGGUAGGGGAGACUGGAAUUCCUGGUGUAGCGGUGAAAUGCGCAGAUAUCAGGAGGAACACCGAUGGCGAAGGCAGGUCUCUGGGCCACUACUGACGCUGAGAAGCGAAAGCAUGGGGAGCGAACAGG